UGGACACUUAUUUUAAAGCAGUAUCUUCUUACAGUGAAGAUAACAAUUUGUAAAUGCUCUAUAGAAAUAUAGUAACUUUCUUUGUACCCUUUGCACGUAAAAUGUGUGUAUCAUUUCAAAUACUAACAUUU